UUUUAUCGGUACGGGAUGGGGUCGCGUCCUAUCAGGUAGUCGGCGGGGUAACGGCCCACCGAGCCUACGACGGGUAGCCGGCCUGAGAGGGCGACCGGCCACAUUGGGACUGAGAUACGGCCCAGACUCCUACGGGAGGCAGCAGUGGGGAAUAUUGCACAAUGGGCGCAAGCCUGAUGCAGCGACGCCGCGUGCGGGAUGACGGCCUUCGGGUUGUAAACCGCUUUUGAUUGGGAGCAAGCGAGAGUGAGUGUACCUUUCGAAUAAGCACCGGCUAACUACGUGCCAGCAGCCGCGGUAAUACGUAGGGUGCAAGCGUUAUCCGGAAUUAUUGGGCGUAAAGAGCUCGUAGGCGGUUCGUCGCGUCUGGUGUGAAAGUCCAUCGCUUAACGGUGGAUCUGCGCCGGGUACGGGCGGGCUGGAGUGCGGUAGGGGAGACUGGAAUUCCCGGUGUAAC
rnacentral:rRNA from 1 species